rnacentral:rRNA from 1 species
AACGCGAAGAACCUUACCUGGGCUUGACAUGUUCCUGACCGCCGUGGAAACACGGUUUCCCUUCGGGGCAGGAUCACAGGUGGUGCAUGGCUGUCGUCAGCUCGUGUCGUGAGAUGUUGGGUUAAGUCCCGCAACGAGCGCAACCCCCGUCGCAUGUUGCCAGCAUUUAGUUGGGGACUCAUGCGAGACUGCCGGUGACAAACCGGAGGAAGGUGGGGAUGACGUCAAGUCAUCAUGCCCCUUAUGUCCAGGGCUACACACGUGCUACAUUGGCGCGUACAGAGGGCUGCAAGACCGCGAGGUGGAGCGAAUCCCUUAAAGCGCGUCUCGGUUCGGAUUGCAGGCUGAAACUCGCCUGCAUGAAGGCGGAGUUGCUAGUAAUCGCGGAUCAGCAUUGCCGCGGUGAAUACGUUCCCGGGCCUUGUACACACCGGCUAC